UCACGGAGGUUUUCACCUCUUAAGUUCCCGUUAAAUAUCUGGCUGACAAAUGACCUGGGUGGGACACUUUAGACGUGGACACCAGCGGAGGGAAACGGCACUGAGUCAAACAGAGGACAGAGAACUGAACUCUAGGUUUUUGGCCUCCAGAAUCACUACCGUCAGCUUCCCGGCAGUAGGCACGUACCUCAAGGACAAACAUAUGUCUCCAAGCUUCUCACUCUAAAACAAAGAAAAAUAACUGAAUCCCUCCACUCCUGCAGAGACUGGCUGAAGUCCACGCUGCUCAUCGGUAUCUUCACAGCUCCGAUGGCAUCGUGCUUUGAGAAACGGUCGAAGUCGUACACAGUCAUCACCAGCGUCUUCCCGCCCAGCUCAGUGAUAUGCAAGCCUCUGUCUCUGCCAAACCUGCUGACAUGGAGGCGAGAGAGGGAUGGAGGAGAGGAAGGGGAGAAGUGAGGUUGAGGCGUCACGCGUGGACCGCUGCUGUUCCACAGCGAGCUGCCAGAGACAUCACAGGUAUUGAGUAUCUGGGGUUGAGUCAGCAGAUGUGAUCCACCACCCAAGCGAACACUGAUCUCAGUUUAUGUCUGCUUUUUCAGGAUUGUUCACUUGACACUGACACAAACAAACAGCUGCAAACAGAAGAUUUCAACAAUAUUUUUCAUAUGUUCAACUUCUUAUAGUGCUCAUGUGAUUGUUUAAUAUAUUGUACAUAUCAUACUGUGUUUAAGGCAGUGUUUGUGACACUGAUCUUCUUUUGUGAAAGUGCAACCAAGUGUUAAUGAAUAAUUCACAGCUUUUGCAUUUUCAUAUGCAAAGGUAAUAAUCAUCAGAGGAUGGUAUACAUGCAAAUGUAUGUAUCGUCGUAUUUCUCUCAUUUCUGCUGCAGAGGUGACUCAUUAUUCGCACCAUAUGUUCCCCCAAGUUCAGUUGUCGAUGCAGCUGCGAAUCUUUUUACACCCGAUCUUACAAGGUGCCAAAUUGAAUAUAGUUUAUGAAAUGUACUGUCAAGAUGAAAGAUCUGAACUCUGAGAUGACAAGUUUCAGACAUAAAUCCUCCUUGUUGUUGGCUUUACUUUACAAAAAUGCUCAACCUUCAGAAGAAGCAGAUCUUGCAGCAGAAAAGAAAGCAAAUCACUGAAACUGGAGUUACAAAAUAAUAAAUCACUCACGACAAUGCUGUAUCCAAUAACAACAGAAUGACCUGCACAGACCUCCAUCCAUGGUUUACACACAGUUACCAUUCACUUAGCCCAGUCGACAUAGAAAUAAAUCAAAGCGCUUAUGAUCGAUGAAACAAAGACAAAACAAAAGGACCCAAAGAUGUACCUGUAUUCAGUCGUCCCAGCAGCCGUGUUCAGCUCACGGGUACUCCUAUUCCUAACAGAGAGGUGGAGGAGGUUGAGAAAAGAUGACAGGAC